GAUGCAUGAGUUGAAUGGUCUUGAAGAAUUCUAUAAGAAGCUUCGAUUGCGUCUUUACGCCUUCCUUUCUAAUCUUUCGAAUUGUUAAAGGUUAUUAAUUCAUUGCUUUAACAAACCUCUUAAUACCAUCAACCCACAUCGAGCACGAUCUGAGAUUGAUGCAUCUUAUCCCUUUGCAAGUCGGUCUCUCUUCCUCAUCGGUUCGAAUCAGCCUUAAGGACGAAGGAGUCGCGGAGAUCUCCAAUUCCGUGCCUCUCAUUCCUCCUCCCGAGAUCACGCUCAUCAUGUUUAUUUGUGCUUUGAUAGAGGAGCAUUAUGUGGCUAUGUGAGGAGAUGGAGUUGAGUUGAGGAUGAUAGCUCUUAUAGAUUUAGAUGUUCUACGGUUCGUCAGAUUUUUCAAUCGAUAGAAGGUUUUUGUCUAUUUUGCAGAUAAUCAUGGGAAUUUUUUAUUUUUAAUUCUCGGUUUGAUAAUUUAAGAAGUGACAUAAAAUCUACAGUAAAUUGGGGUAUUUUUUUAAUUUUGCCCAUGUUAAAUUGAUGUUCUUAUCUGUUACCAAAACUGAGUUUCCAUCUCCUUUGCUGCUUAAGUCAUAAUUUUUGUGGGCUACAGGUUUAUAGUUUUUUGUCAAGUGUAAGUGUGGAUGGAUAUUAAGUUUACCCACGGUUUUCCGGUGUAUGAUAGUCAGCUCAAUCGACGAUGAAGACGAAGAGUAUGCAUAUUGAACGGCUGUGAACAUUGGAGGUCACGUGUCAAUGGCAUUCUCUACGACAAAUGUCCAUCAGAUGAUCACCGCUACAGCUCAACCCUGUCGCCAUAGCCGCUGAAUCCUCUCAACACCAUCUUAACCUCUUGGCCUCAGCCUCUUCAGUCGCCACUACAACCGCCGUGACCGCGAGUAAUAUUAAUAUUGCAUCAGUUGACCUUCUUUGGUUUACACUGCAGCAGCGGCUCCGAUCAACUCUUUUAUCAGCCCCGAGGACUACGAAGCAGUUCGCAGCUGAAGAGAGCUCAAGAGAGAGAGUGCAUAAUCCCUAAACGGUACUGGAAAAGGAAGUAUUGUAACAAGAUGGUUUGUUAACAAUUACCCAACAAGGAAUCUGAAGUUUGAGAUGUACAAGAUUGAAACGGUAACAAUGAGAUGAACCUCGAACCUGAAAAUAUGGGGAUGAAGGAGUGGCUGAAAGGGAAUGUAAAAGAGGAGGAAAUGUGGUAAUGAAGACAGAGGUUUAGGUGUUGGAGGAGAUGAUGAGGAGCAAGACGAUAAAAUGGUGGAUAAGCUUUGCUUGGAAUGCAAGCCAAUGGGUACUAGGGCUAAGGGGAAGGAACAUGGAGACAGACGUAAGAGAAAAUAUCUAUCAAACCAUGCGUUUUUUCUUUCUUUACAUUAUCUGCUUUUUUUUCUUCCGUUUUGUUGUUAGAAUUGUUUUAAGGGAGAAUUGGAAAAACAAGACACUUUCGAAAUUUGUUUGUCAAAAUAAUACUUUGGUCGUUUUGGACUGGUUUUGCC